UACGUAGGCAGCGAGCGUUGUUCGGAAUUACUGGGCGUAAAGCGCACGUAGGCGGUUCGUUAUGUCGGAUGUGAAAGCCCUUGGCUUAACCGAGGAAGUGCAUCCGAAACUGGCGAGCUAGAGUACUAAAGAGGAUCGCGGAAUUCCCGGUGUAGAGGUGAAAUUCGUAGAUAUCGGGAGGAACACCGGUGGCGAAGGCGGCGAUCUGGGUAGAUACUGACGCUGAGGUGCGAAAGCGUGGGGAGCAAACAGG
rnacentral:rRNA from 1 species